GCCAUUGUGUUGUAGUGGUUUGAAUGUUGGACUGUAACUCUGGAGAUCAGGGUUCAAUUCCCAGCUCAGCCA
rnacentral:tRNA from 1 species